AAAGCAGGUUGCAAUUGCAGCGCUUCUUGCGUGUGGGAGUUCUGCCAUGAUCCUGCUGACAGUAACACUGCCGUGGAGUUGAGACACCCUGCUCCCUUUUCCAUUACCGGGGAAGCAGGUGCUCUGUGGUGGUGACAC
ensembl:snoRNA SNORA69 small nucleolar RNA SNORA69